GCCAACGUAGUGUAAUGGUUGGGUGUUAGACUACAACUCCAGAGACCAGGGUUUGAUUCCCAACUUGGCC